AGUAGAGUACGUUACUGCUUAUCUAUUUGUAAUACUAAUAAAUAAAAUAAAUGCUGCAAGAAUCCUAGUUCAAGGAAAAUAUUGCACCGACGUGUUUCUACAAAUUGUAACACAAGGAAGCUUGGCUGCCACUGCCAGUGUGAUAAAUAAGGUGUUUCCGAGAGGACGUCGAGUGAACAACAAUGUCUUGGCUGCCAAAGAUUCUGCUGACUGCGACCCUGGCCGCCGCACUUGCUUCCCCGGAAACACACAAAUCUACCGGAUCCCUAGUACCCAAAAGAUCUUUUGACAUACCACCCUCAAAACAAGGCCCAAUCAUCGCAUGCGUUACGUGCGGAGUUAGUCACUGCCCGGCUGGUACUACACCUAUUUGGGCUGGAUUUUUACUAUGCAAGAAGAAAAGAAGUGGAAAAAAUGCAGAAGUGUUAAGUUAGGCGAUAUAAGAUUUGGUAACGCUUUUGAUUCGGGAACGCGCCCGCCGCUCGUGCUGCGUUAGUGGUUCGCUCCAAAGUGGCCAAGCCUUAAGGGUUGAUUUAGACGGCGCGCGAACUCGUAUGCGGUUUUAGUUACAUUGCGGACUGUUGGUUACGUCCAAUUCAACUGACCGAUCAAAAACCGCAAUGUAAUGAAACUUGCCUGCGAAUUCUCGCGUCUAAAUAAGCCCUAAAGCUCAAAUUACCUAGUUAUUCGUAUGAGUUGUAGGUAUUAUACUGAUUCUAAUAAAAAAUUGUAUUAAAUUGAAUUGUUUUAUUUCUAACAAGGAAAAGAUACUAAGAUGUAUUUGUUAAUUCCGCAUCAGAGUGCAUUUCCGGAAUUAUAUUAAAUGCAGCAGAAUAUAAUAACGGCGUAAACUUCUUUGUAUAGAAACAUUAUUACACGAUUUAUAUUA